rnacentral:tRNA from 1 species
GGGGGUAUAACUCAUUUGGUAGAGUGUAUGCUUUGCAAGCAUGAAGUAAUCAGUUCGACUCUGGUUAUCUCCA